AUAUUUACCAGGCAGGGGAGAUCACAAAGGUGGUUUUCGCAGGGUGAGGCUUAUCCAUUGCACUCCAGAUGUGCUGACCCCUGCAAUUUCCUCAUAUGCGAGAAACUGGACUGCAUAAUUUGUGGUAGUGAGGGACUCCAUUCGCUCUCUCC
rnacentral:snRNA from 1 species